GACGAACGCUGGCGGCGUGCUUAACACAUGCAAGUCGAGCGGUAAGGCCCUUCGGGUACGACGAGCGGCGAACGGGUGAGUAACACGUGGGUGACCUGCCUCUAGCUCUGGGAUAAGCCUGGGAAACUGGGUCUAAUACCGGAUAUGACUCCACGGCGCAUGUUGUGGGGUGGAAAGCCUUGUGUGGCUAGAGAUGGGCCCGCGGCCUAUCAGCUUGUUGUGGGGUGAUGGCCUACCAAGGCGACGACGGGUAGCCGGCCUGAGAGGGCGACCGGCCACACUGGGACUGAGACACGGCCCAGACUCCUACGGGAGGCAGCAGUGGGGAAUCUUGCGCAAUGGGCGAAAGCCUGACGCAGCGACGCCGCGUGAGGGAUGACGGCCUGGU
rnacentral:rRNA from 1 species